GAUGAACGCUGGCGGCGUGCCUAAUACAUGCAAGUCGAGCGAACAGACGAGGAGCUUGCUCCUCUGACGUUAGCGGCGGACGGGUGAGUAACACGUGGAUAACCUACCUAUAAGACUGGGAUAACUUCGGGAAACCGGAGCUAAUACCGGAUAAUAUAUUGAACCGCAUGGUUCAAUAGUGAAAGACGGUUUUGCUGUCACUUCUAGAUGGAUCCGCGCCGCAUUAGCUAGUUGGUAAGGUAACGGCUUACCAAGGCAACGAUGCGUAGCCGACCUGAGAGGGUGAUCGGCCACACGGGAGCUGGGACGCGGUCCAGGCUCCUACGGGAGGCAGCAGUAGGGAAUCUUCCGCAAUGGGCGAAAGCUUGACGGAGCAACGCCGCGUGAGUGAUGAAGGUCUUCGGAUCGUAAAACUCUGUUAUUAGGGAAGAACAAAUGUGUAAGUAACUAUGCACGUCUUGACGGUACCUAAUCAGAAAGCCACGGCUAACUACGUG
rnacentral:rRNA from 1 species